rnacentral:lncRNA from 1 species
GUUUAAAAGGGGAGAAAAGUUUCAGUACUUGGUGUGCAGUGCCGGUGGAGAAGUUGACAGAUCAAGCCUACAAUAAGUAGCGGAACACCGACAAGGGCUUUUUACAUUCAAGCGCUGUAUAUUGAAACUAAUCUGGAAGGUUUUCGGGAACCAUCUUAAAGAUGAAAUUCUUUCCCGCUGUCUUCGUAUUAAUUUCAGUCGCUUAAAGAUUGAAGCAGUGCUGGAGACUCUGUGAGGAAGCUAUGAGCUGCACAUUGCACCGCC